rnacentral:misc_RNA from 1 species
AAGACUAUAGACCUGCGGAGUACCUGCGGAGGGAUCAUCAAAGAAUCAUCUUUUAAAGAAAAAUGAGUUGCCCUAAAAAAGCACUUGUUUUUCUUCAAACAAACGAUCACAACUAUUGAAAAAAUAAGAGUGAUUUGGUUGGGAAAUUGAUUUGGCUUGAAAUUAAAAACAAGUGUUUGCCUGAUAAUCUAAUGACUUGGAAACAAGAGAGAAAGAAAAAUACAACUUUUAGCAAUGGAU